rnacentral:tRNA from 1 species
GGGCCUGUAGCUCAGCUGGAUAGAGCGGCCGCCUCCUAAGCGGCAGGUCGGGGGUUCGAAUCCCUCCGGGCCCGCCA